CUGAUGAGAAGCCUGCAAGAGGCAGCGUUCCCCCACAAGCUCUGGAAGAUGAGUUGACCAGGCAAGGAGACUUUUUUUCUGGACUUUCAGUUUGGGAGAGCUGAAGCUGGGCCCUGAGACAUUGAAUUGAAGUGCCUGGAAGUCCAGAAGUUGUUGGUGAAAGUGAUGCGUGUUGCUUCGGGGCAGAAGGGAAUAAGGCUCCCUUCUAACCCUUUCCUGCUGCCCUCUGGCCAUGCUGUAUCACAAAAGGCUGUUGUGUGUGAAUAGUGUGGCCAUUAAUAUUUUGGGACUUCAGAGCAGUACCCUUUCCUCCAGAAAAUCAAGGAAGAGGAAAACAUCUUCCGCACACGGAGAACCAUUCAAGAGAAAACUGUUUCUGGUGAGAUCGCUACCCUCAGUGCCGACAGCCAGAAAGGUGAGCAUAUUAAAUGCUCUGGGCACCUCCAGCAUCCUCUGCACCGGGACUGCAGCCACUAGAUCUCUUUGCACUUCCUGGUUUCAGCCAUAACCAGAAGGUGAAGUACUGAAUUGAGAGAAAGUGUCUGCCAUACAGAUUUAAGCUUCUGAAAAUUCUUUGUAGGCAGGAUUAACAUCAGUUGGAGGCUUUCAAGAAGUGCUAUUGGCAUCUGCUCUGUGUCACAGAAAGAAAAUCAGAAACACCAGUCAAUGUGCAUUACACCAUCUGGAGAGUCAAGAGCCAGUCUUCAGACAGAUCCAGCUGGGAAAGUUGAAGUAUUUCAGUUCUGUUUUAUGCAGAACUGCUGAGACUCUAGAGAUGGUGUUUAUGGUGUGAGUGCCAGGAUUGUAAUCAGAAGGUGGGCACAGAAAGCACUGGUUAUAUACGUAGACAGUAGAAUCAAAAGGCCAAGAUGGGUACAUGUAGUAUUGGAGCCGGGAAGGGGUUGGUGAUGGCUCAUUGGGGGUGCCACCUUUGGCUAUAUCUAUUGGCUUGAAAACAAACCACUCAUUCACCUUAGGGCCUUGUGGGGCAGUUGUGGGGGAAGAGUCAGUGGGCCCUCCUAUCUCCCUAUUAGCUCUGUCACUGGGUUCAUGUGUAUGAUAGUCCAUGCCAUUAAACCAUGAUAUUAGCAUGAUGAUAAUGAUGUUGAGAAAUACCUCAAACUUCAGGUGGUUGUUUGUUGCAUUACUCCAGAAAACAGCACAAAACUCUCUCGCUCAUUUCUGUUCCUAUUCUAAACUUGUGUUUGUAUCCAGUGAGUUUAUUUGUAUAAUUUAAUUUUGUAUUUCUGAGACCAACAUUUUUGUUUAAGAAAAAAACGACAGACCUGUAUUCCCUCACUUCCAAUAUUUAUCCAUCAACAUGAAUAACUGCCCUGGGAAAUUUUCCAUUUCAGGCAAAAGAAGAAAAAUAUUAAAGUGAGAGUUUUCAGGCAGUCAAUACCUUGGAGUCCCAUCUGUACUCUCAUAACAGUUACCUAGUUUCAUUAUUUGUGUAUCAGCUGUCUCCAUUCCCUGCUGGAUUGACAGGAACUGUACCUGCUAAGAUUUCAAAAUUAAAUCAUGACUUGCUUGCUUUGUAACACUUUUCAAGAAAAAAAAUUUUUACACGCACACAGACAAACCCAUUGGAUGGGCUAGGCAGAUUGUAAUUUUCAUUUAUUUUAAGAUUUCAGAUUAUUUAUUUGAAAUGUUAAUCAUUAUAUUAAGGCUGUUUCAGUUUUGCAAUGUAGUUUUAAGUUAUGUACUGUAGUUACUGUAUUCUAGUUGAAUUAUUUUGCAAUUAAAAUCACUGCUUGAUGCAGUUUUUUAUGGAA